CCUANGGGGGGCAGCAGUAAGGAAUAUUGGUCAAUGGACGAAAGUCUGAACCAGCCAUGCCGCGUGAAGGAUGAAGGCCCUCUGGGUUGUAAACUUCUUUUAUCUGGGACGAAAAAAGCUCAUUCUUGAGCACUUGACGGUACCAGAGGAAUAAGCACCGGCUAACUCCGUGCCAGCAGCCGCGGUAAUACGGAGGGUGCAAGCGUUAUCCGGAUUUACUGGGUUUAAAGGGUGCGUAGGUGGGUCUGUAAGUCAGUGGUGAAAUCUCCGAGCUUAACUCGGAAACUGCCAUUGAUACUAUAGGUCUUGAAUUAUCUGGAGGUAAGCGGAAUAUGUCAUGUAGCGGUGAAAUGCUUAGAUAUGACAUAGAACACCAAUUGCGAAGGCAGCUUACUACGGAUAUAUUGACACUGAGGCACGAAAGCGUGGGGAUCAAACAGGAUUAGAUACCCGGNUANUC
rnacentral:rRNA from 1 species